rnacentral:rRNA from 1 species
GCAGGCCUAACACAUGCAAGUCGAGCGGAUGAAGGGAGCUUGCUCCCUGAUUCAGCGGCGGACGGGUGAGUAAUGCCUAGGAAUCUGCCUGGUAGUGGGGGACAACGUCUCGAAAGGGACGCUAAUACCGCAUACGUCCUACGGGAGAAAGCAGGGGACCUUCGGGCCUUGCGCUAUCAGAUGAGCCUAGGUCGGAUUAGCUAGUUGGUGAGGUAAUGGCUCACCAAGGCGACGAUCCGUAACUGGUCUGAGAGGAUGAUCAGUCACACUGGAACUGAGACACGGUCCAGACUCCUACGGGAGGCAGCAGUGGGGAAUAUUGGACAAUGGGCGAAAGCCUGAUCCAGCCAUGCCGCGUGUGUGAAGAAGGUCUUCGGAUUGUAAAGCACUUUAAGUUGGGAGGAAGGGUUGUAGAUUAAUACUCUGCAAUUUUGACGUUACCGACAGAAUAAGCACCGGCUAACUCUGUGCCAGCAGCCGCGGUAAUACAGAGGGUGCAAGCGUUAAUCGGAAUUACUGGGCGUAAAGCGCGCGUAGGUGGUUUGUUAAGUUGGAUGUGAAAGCCCCGGGCUCAACCUGGGAACUGCAUUCAAAACUGACAAGCUAGAGUAUGGUAGAGGGUGGUGGAAUUUCCUGUGUAGCGGUGAAAUGCGUAGAUAUAGGAAGGAACACCAGUGGCGAAGGCGACCACCUGGACUG